rnacentral:rRNA from 1 species
AUUGAACGCUGGCGGAAUGCCUUACACAUGCAAGUCGAACGGCAGCACGGACUUCGGUCUGGUGGCGAGUGGCGAACGGGUGAGUAAUGUAUCGGAACGUGCCCAGUCGUGGGGGAUAACGUAGUGAAAAUUACGCUAAUACCGCAUACGAUCUAUGGAUGAAAGCGGGGGAUCGCAAGACCUCGCGCGAUUGGAGCGGCCGAUAUCAGAUUAGGUAGUUGGUGGGGUAAAGGCCCACCAAGCCAACGAUCUGUAGCUGGUCUGAGAGGACGACCAGCCACACUGGAACUGAGACACGGUCCAGACUCCUACGGGAGGCAGCAGUGGGGAAUUUUGGACAAUGGGCGAAAGCCUGAUCCAGCCAUUCCGCGUGCAGGAUGAAGGCCCUCGGGUUGUAAACUGCUUUUGUACAGAACGAAAAGGUUUCUACUAAUACUAGGAGCUCAUGACGGUACUGUAAGAAUAAGUACCGGCUAACUACGUGCCAGCAGCCGCCGUAA